GCUAGUGACUGGGGUGAAGUCGUAACAAGGUAGCCGUACCGGAAGGUGUGGCUGGAUCACCUCCUUAAA
rnacentral:rRNA from 7 species